GCUACUGAAAGCCCAGCUCACAUGACUCAGUUUAGGCAGGUCAGGCCAUGAGAUAAGUCAGAGCCCUGAAGCACCUCUCAGCUCCUCCACUGUCUGGGCCAAACCCCUCCAGGCACAAACAGAGGCA